CUGUCAGGAAGGCUCAUCACUGCUCUGACAUGGCCAACCCCUUCCCACCUCCAGGCUUGGCUCACCCCGCUCAAUGCCGACAGGCUCAGAACUUCAGUCCUCUCUUCCUCAGCCUCCAGGGAAUGAUCAGCUCGCAGGAGAAGAGUGCAGGGGGAGCCAUCAGGUAUCCCAUCAAUCAGGCUCUUAUACCACAACCCUGCCUUGUGGGCCACAGUGACACACAUGGCCACAAACGAGGACCAGCAGAGAUCACGGAUGCUACCUGCCACAGCGACUGGGCAAGGGUUAGCCAUCUGACCCAAAUGGGGCCAGGUGCAGUGUGUCCUCCUUGGCGGGUUAACACAACCAUGAACAUCCUUGUGUGUGUGUUUUGGAGCUUCUCAGACUUGUGUUUGCUCGUGUGCUGGGGAUUGAUCCCAGG
rnacentral:lncRNA from 1 species